GACGAACGCUGGCGGCGUGCCUAAUACAUGCAAGUAGAACGCAGUUGCGAACGGGUGAGUAACGCGUCGGUAACUGCCUGGUAGCGGGGGAUAACUAUUGGAAACGAUAGCUAAUACCGUAUACUACCAGAUGGACCUGCGUUGUAUUAGCUGGUUGGUGAGGUAACGGCUCACCAAGGCAACGAUACAUAGCCGACCUGAGAGGAUGACCAGCCACACUGGAACUGGGACACGCCCCAAACUCCUACGUGAGGCAGCAGUAGGGAAUCUUCGGCAAUGGGUGGAACCCUGACCGGGCAACGCCGCGUGAGUGAAAAAGGGUUUCGGAUCGUAAAGCUCUAUUGUUAAGGAAGCGGUACUUAUCCAGAAAGGUACGGCUAACUACGUGCCAGCAGCCGCGGUAAUA
rnacentral:rRNA from 1 species